GACGAACGCUGGCGGCGUGCCUAAUACAUGCAAGUCGAACGGUCUUUUCUAUGGAAGCUUGCUUCCACUGAGAAGAUAGUGGCGAACGGGUGAGUAACACGUGGGUAACCUGCCCAUAAGAGGGGGAUAACAUCCGGAAACGGGUGCUAAUACCGCAUAGUUUUCUUGAUCGCAUGAUUGAGAAAGGAAAGACGGCCUUUGUGCUGUCGCUUAAGGAUGGACCCGCGGCGUAUUAGUUAGUUGGUGAGGUAACGGCUCACCAAGACGAUGAUACGUAGCCGACCUGAGAGGGUGAUCGGCCACAUUGGGACUGAGACACGGCCCAAACUCCUACGGGAGGCAGCAGUAGGGAAUCUUCCGCAAUAGACGAAAGUCUGACGGAGCAACGCCGCGUGAGUGAAGAAGGUUUUCGGAUCGUAAAACUCUGUUGUCAGAGAAGAACAAGUUGGAGAGUAACUGCUCCAGCCUGGACGGUAUCUGACCAGAAAGCCACGGCUAACUACGUGCCAGCAGCCGCCGUAAAAC
rnacentral:rRNA from 1 species